GGCCUCCUAGCACAACGGUCAGGGCGGCGGCCUUAUAAGCCGCAGAGCCGGGUUCGACUCCCGGGGAGGCCACCA
rnacentral:tRNA from 2 species